rnacentral:sRNA from 1 species
GCCAGGUGUGGUGGCGCACACCUGUAAUUCCAGGGACUCAGGAGGCUGAGGCAGGAGUAAUACAAGUUUGAGAUCAAUCUCAGCAAUUUAGCAAGGCCUUCAGCAGCUUAGUGAGACUCUGUCUCAA